rnacentral:rRNA from 1 species
GAACGCUGGCGGCAGGCCUAACACAUGCAAGUCGAGCGGAAACGAGUUAACUUGACCCUUCGGUUGACGUUAACGGCGUCGAGCGGCGGACGGGUGAGUAAUGCCUGGGAAAUUGCCCUGAUGUGGGGGAUAACCAUUGGAAACGAUGGCUAAUACCGCAUAAUGCCUUCGGGCCAAAGAGGGGGACCUUCGGGCCUCUCGCGUCAGGAUAUGCCCAGGUGGGAUUAGCUAGUUGGUGAGGUAAUGGCUCACCAAGGCGACGAUCCCUAGCUGGUCUGAGAGGAUGAUCAGCCACACUGGAACUGAGACACGGUCCAGACUCCUACGGGAGGCAGCAGUGGGGAAUAUUGCACAAUGGGCGCAAGCCUGAUGCAGCCAUGCCGCGUGUGUGAAGAAGGCCUUCGGGUUGUAAAGCACUUUCAGCAGUGAGGAAGGCGGGUACGUUAAUAGCGUGCUCGUUUGACGUUAGCUGCAGAAGAAGCACCGGCUAACUCCGUGCCAGCAGCCGCGGUAAUACGGAGGGU